AUAGUGUAAUUUCUUUUAAUGUAUAGGAUUGUUUCCAACUCAUCAGGUCUGGUGCAAUUCUGUCACGAUUUAACAUGGAACAUCCGGGCUGCCCUUCCUGAAUAGUCCAGGGCAAGAGCAGUAGUGAGUGAUUCUUCUCUUUUCUCGGGUUCACUUUGACCUGAAGCAAGUUGCUAUCUUCGGAGAGUAUGUAUGGACCCCAACAGAAUGGGGCCCAGGGGUCUUCAUCCCUUACAAAUCCUGGACUGUAUCAAAGGGAAGGCCUCGGUAAUUCGUGCUCACCCAGCCCAUUCGGAUCCUGGUCCUCCCUCUCUUGGGGUUCAGGGGGUUCCUAGAGUUUUCUUGUUCCCACCCAGGCAUGGGGGGCUAGUGUCCAGCUGAGAGUUCUCUCUCCACUGGGCGGGGGUCCGUGCCUGGAUGGCCAGCGCAUGGACCGGACCUCCCAGCUCCUCGGCCAGCGCUGCGUGGACCAGCCGGUGUCGUUGUAGGGGGCUCAGUCCCUCGAAACGAGAGCUCACCACAGCCACGCGGAAGUGAGUCUCACUGCCAGGCGGGACCGCGUGGCCACCGCUCUCGUUGCGAAGCUCUAGCACCUCGGGGCUCAGGGCCUCCUCCAACUUCGUGCGAAUGGCGGCCUCCACCGGACCGAUGGCCCCGGAUCCCGCGCUGCCCUGGCACAAACAAACGCGGCCAGCCAUGGAGACCAGACCCAGGACCAGCCGCCCACUCAGCAUGGGCUACGCCAGAGACUCAGACGCCAGGAGUGAGGGUCGGGGCGAUCCGCCUGGUGAGAGCACAAUGUCAACACCCGCCCCGCGAUCCCCGCAUCCGCCCUAACCCCACGCCCGGACGUCCACACCAGCUCCUAUAGGGAGCCCGCCUUGAUGCCACACGGGGAGACCCGAGACACCGCCCCUUUUCUCUACGUGACGUGGUGAAUUCGACCUCCAGCUGUGGAAGUGAAGGGACAAGCGAAGAUUAGAAAGGCCCGCACGCGAGGCGCGUUCGUUCCUUAGGGGAUUUGCAAAGAAUGGGCAAAAGUAGGGCAUGUGCAACUGCGUACUUGUGGUUGGGCCGAAGCCCCUGUGUUCCCUGUGAAGCCCCGGAGACGCCCCUUCUACCUGCCGCUCAGCCUCGGCCACUGCGAUUCCCGCUCAGGGCCAGGACUCUGGACGCUCCGGAGCAAAAUGCAGUCCUGGCGCCCUUCCUGAGGCACGCUGGGAAAUGGAGUCCUCGCUGCGCGUUGGUAGCACGGGCAGGCACCACGUGGUGCCCUGAGGGCUCAUGGGAACUGUAGUCUCGGAUUCUCCCCACUGGUGGGUCCCAUCCAACCAGUUGAAAGCUUG
rnacentral:lncRNA from 1 species